CCUCGGCCAGGCAUGUGAUUGCCUUGUGAUUAUACACGAGAUGAGCCUUAAUUCCUGGACUGAAUUUGACUCACCGUAAAGUUGAAGUUCUGAAGAACUGAAAACUAGCUCAGAUGCUGAGCAAACAGAGAGCUCAGAUCUCUGUGUCAGGAUCAUUGGAAGGGGCUCUCCUACAAAUGCACACUCUUACAGAAGGACCAGGAGAAGGAAGGAGGAACUGAUGGAAUACUUGAGUUUCAAGGCUGUCUGUCCUGCUGAUAGUGGUGGAAUUGGUCAUUUAUGCUUAGCUGCAUCCAGCCUGAGAAACCCAGAAACCAAGAGUUAAAGAGGUGGGAGGAACAGAAGGGGGUUUGUUGAGGUUGGUAGAGAGCCC
rnacentral:lncRNA from 1 species